CCCCUCGUCGUUCAAUGGAUAGGACACUCCCCUGCGAAGGGAGAAAUCCAAGUUCGAUUCUUGGCGGGGGGA
rnacentral:tRNA from 1 species